rnacentral:lncRNA from 1 species
UAAAUGAAAGAAAAAUCAUGUUGUCAUUGUACAAGUAAGAUGGUCAUGAUACUGACAUGCAUCAAUAUGGUGAUCUGAUAUAUAAAAAAAAUGCACUCAUCACAUCAGUUGUCAGGCCAAGAACUUACGAAGUAGAGAGCAGAAAAAGUUGCAACAAUUAUGAGGAUCAACGGUCCAAAUCCCAAGAAGAACGUUCCUCCAAUUGUCAAUAGAAGUUUAGCACGAGGUAUUAAGCCCUGAAAUAGAUGAAUACACAAGUGAUUUCACGGGAUUUAACUCAAUAUAAUAUAUUAUUAAUUCUGAUGUAGAGGCAUUUCUAUAGGAUAUAUAGAUUUUUUUUUUCAUAUUUAGCAUCCAAAAGACUCCUCAUAAUUUAGGCAGUGCAGCAAUUGCUACAUUCUCAUGUAGUAAUAAUAUACGAUGAAAAAGAAAGUGCAUCAAUAUCUAAACUGGUCUUACAGAAGGCCUUUGCAUACUAUGGACAUCAUCAUGUUAAUUUCUUAAUAAUAUUCUGUUAUUAAUACUAGAACAGUGUACUGAUGAACGAUUUCUUCAAGUUACUAAUGCCCAUUUCACACUCAAAUUUAGGGAGUAUUUAGGUAAACAAUUUAAUUAAAUACUUAUUCAAUAAGAUUUUGUUAUAUGAGAGUUUAUUCUUAAGCUUCAUAGUGAAGUGUACUAGAAUAAGCUAAAAACAUAUUAUUUUGAUAAGCUCAUCUACAAAGCUAAUUAAAAUAAGUGAAAAUGAACUUAUGAGAAAGUCACAAGUCAUGAAGCACUAUACUUCAAUUCACUUUGCAUAUCCAUAUCCGAUACUCUUAAAUGUUUCACCAAUAAAGUAUCUAAGCCUUUAAAAGAACUAUAAAACUCGAAUACAGCUACAUAUGAAACAUUGAAAUAUAUGUACAGUAUAGAACUAGAAACAUAGUCUCUGGGUGGGGCAAAAAUGGAAAUUACCCUCUUCACAAAUGAUUUCAAGAAAGAAAUAAGAUUGAUAUUAUUUCUAUUUGUCAGGAAAUAAAAAAAUUAUUUAUGAUGACAAUGAUUUAUGAAUUCUAUUUUGUUUUUAGUAAUGCCUAAAAGUAUGUUAAUUUGGAUUUGCUUGCAGAAUAUAAUUUUAUGUUUUAUGCAUUUCUUAAAAUAUCUGUAUAUGAAUCCUACACAUAUUAUAUCUUAUGUAUUUUUAGAAUAAUUGUAUCUAAUACAUAUCUUAUUAAAAACAGGUAUAGUAUUUCUGAAUCAUAACAUAAGCACAAAUAAGCUGUGGCAAACAUUUCAUUAGUCUUAUGCAAUCAUUGAAAUUCAUAAUAAGAAGCAUGGAAGCUGUAUUUCAACAUGAAGAUUCAGAAAUGAAAAAUUCAAAAUUUUAACAGCUUAUUAUUUUCUUAAGUCUUAAAGUAAUAAUAAUUUACUACAGAGAAGCUAAAGUACACACUUCAAAGCUAUUUAUGGCAACACAAGAAAUAAUGUCGUUAGAAUUUAACUAUGAAAUCUUACAUCUCUGAAAUUAAGGGAGUUACUUAUUGCAAAACUGAUAAGAUACAAUUUUAUUUUGAAAAUUAUUUUAAAUUCUUUCUAAUUCUAUGCAUUCUGCAGAAGCCAUUUGAAUUUUAAGUUCCAAACAUGUGAUGUCUCAAAGGGGACUAUUUGAAGUUCUAAAUUCAACAGCAAGAUCAAGUUUGUUGAUUUGAGUAACAAGCCAAAAGUUUAUAGCAGUAACAGCUGCCAGCUAAAAAGGGCUACUGAUGUCACUCAUUAUUAGACCUACUAUUUAUAUAAUUGUUGACACAUAAAAGAUUAAAAAGUAUCGAAUGUUUAGAGAAUAAGGUUGAAACCACAAUCUUGUAAGUUGCCAUUCAUUAAUUCAUAGCUGGAUUUCAGUACUUCUUUUCAUAUGUUCAUCCUUCGUGUCUUUUCCUUGUCCUCCCUCCUCAUUUUCCUCUCUCUUGUCUCUCAUUAAUAAAAAAAAACUAAAUUAGUAUUUUUUGUUCAACACCGGAUAACAAAGACAAACUACUGACAACAAAACUAUUGAAAUAACAUAACUGUUUGUUUAUAAAUUAUUUAAGGAAAAGGAAUGUUGACAAUGAAUCAACCUCAAGACCUUCACUGUUCAGGGCCAUAGAUCGUUCCCUCUGAUUGUCUAGACUCCUCUCAACAUUGGUUGACACAAAUUUUCUUUUUGGGAAACCUCUAUCUUCCUCAUUCACGUACACCUCUUCAUCAAGUUCAUAGUUGCUUUGUUGGUAAUCAUCAAGCAAUGAUGUAGGGGUCAUACCUCUCCUCUUCAAUUCCUUCAUAAAUAAUGACUCCGGAGGCUCUUCACCUGAAAACAAAACAGAAGCAGUAUGAAGACACAAAAAGGUAUUGUCCAUUUUGAUGUUCUCUUUAACCAGUUGUAGACUAUAAUCUGAACCCCUUCACUACAAAACCUACUUGUCUAGCCAAAACAUAAUGAGAUACUGUUUUUUUUGCUAACCAACACAUGAAAGGCCACACAAAUAAACAUGCUUAAAGCACAAGAACUCAUCCUACACCAGAUGAAGACAGACAUAAAAGGGGGAAAAAAUCUAAAUUUUAUUUUAGUAAUCUGCCAAGCAAAGAGAGUGGAUAUCACAAAUACAAAUCAUUAAACAAACAGAGCUAAGAAAUUUUAGUAAAUUUCUGUAUUAUUUCAAAUUAAAAAGCAACUAUUUUUUCUCAUUAAAACUAGAAUUAUAACAAUUCCAAAUAACCAUCAUUAAAUGAGACAUGAAAAUAAUUUAAAAAAAAAUCAAACUUGCCAUUUUUUUGGUUAUUGGAAUCUUGAGAACUACAACAGACCCUGAAAGUGGAAGACUUAGAAGAGGUGAAAGUUUGCAGCUUUGCGAUCCUUUUGUGGAAACAGCAUGGUAGGUGAUUGUUCCACGUGGAUUUUCUGGGGAAAUUAUAUUGGGAAAGGGAAAG